GAGGCCGAAAGGCGUAGUCGAUGGGAAACGGGUUAAUAUUCCCGUACUUGGUGUUACUGCGAAGGGGGGACGGAGAAGGCUAUGUUGGCCGGGCGACGGUUGUCCCGGUUUAAGCGUGUAGGCUGGUUUUCCAGGCAAAUCCGGAAAAUCAAGGCUGAGGCGUGACGACGAGGCACUACGGUGCUGAAGCAACAAAUGCCCUGCUUCCAGGAAAAGCCUCUAAGCAUCAGGUAACACGAAAUCGUACCCCAAACCGACACAGGUGGUCAGGUAGAGAAUACCAAGGCGCUUGAGAGAACUCGGGUGAAGGAACUAGGCAAAAUGGUGCCGUAACUUCGGGAGAAGGCACGCUGACAUGUAGGUGAAGUGAUUUACUCAUGGAGCUGAAGUCAGUCGAAGAUACCAGCUGGCUGCAACUGUUUAUUAAAAACACAGCACUGUGCAAACACGAAAGUGGACGUAUACGGUGUGACGCCUGCCCGGUGCCGGAAGGUUAAUUGAUGGGGUCAGCGCAAGCGAAGCUCCUGAUCGAAGCCCCGGUAAACGGCGGCCGUAACUAUAACGGUCCUAAGGUAGCGAAAUUCCUUGUCGGGUAAGUUCCGACCUGCACGAAUGGCGUAAUGAUGGCCAGGCUGUCUCCACCCGAGACUCAGUGAAAUUGAACUCGCUGUGAAGAUGCAGUGUACCCGCGGCAAGACGGAAAGACCCCGUGAACCUUUACUAUAGCUUGACACUGAACAUUGAGCCUUGAUGUGUAGGAUAGGUGGGAGGCUUUGAAGUGUGGACGCCAGUCUGCAUGGAGCCGACCUUGAAAUACCACCCUUUAAUGUUUGAUGUUCUAACGUGGACCCGUGAUCCGGGUUGCGGACAGUGUCUGGUGGGUAGUUUGACUGGGGCGGUCUCCUCCUAAAGAGUAACGGAGGAGCACGAAGGUUGGCUAAUCCUGGUCGGACAUCAGGAGGUUAGUGCAAUGGCAUAAGCCAGCUUGACUGCGAGCGUGACGGCGCGAGCAGGUGCGAAAGCAGGUCAUAGUGAUCCGGUGGUUCUGAAUGGAAGGGCCAUCGCUCAACGGAUAAAAGGUACUCCGGGGAUAACAGGCUGAUACCGCCCAAGAGUUCAUAUCGACGGCGGUGUUUGGCACCUCGAUGUCGGCUCAUCACAUCCUGGGGCUGAAGUAGGUCCCAAGGGUAUGGCUGUUCGCCAUUUAAAGUGGUACGCGAGCUGGGUUUAGAACGUCGUGAGACAGUUCGGUCCCUAUCUGCCGUGGGCGCUGGAGAACUGAGGGGGGCUGCUCCUAGUACGAGAGGACCGGAGUGGACGCAUCACUGGUGUUCGGGUUGUCAUGCCAAUGGCACUGCCCGGUAGCUAAAUGCGGAAGAGAUAAGUGCUGAAAGCAUCUAAGCACGAAACUUGCCCCGAGAUGAGUUCUCCCUGAGACUUUAGGUCUCCUGAAGGAACGUUGAAGACGACGACGUUGAUAGGCCGGGUGUGUAAGCGCAGCGAUGCGUUGAGCUAACCGGUACUAAUGAACCGUGAGGCUUAACCUUACA
rnacentral:rRNA from 1 species